rnacentral:rRNA from 1 species
UACAGAGGGGGCAAGCGUUGUUCGGAAUUACUGGGCGUAAAGGGCGCGUAGGCGGCCUGUUAAGUCGAACGUGAAAUCCCUGGGCUUAACCCAGGAACUGCGUCCGAUACUGGCAGGCUUGAAUCCGGGAGAGGGAUGCGGAAUUCCAGGUGUAGCGGUGAAAUGCGUAGAUAUCUGGAGGAACACCGGUGGCGAAGGCGGCAUCCUGGACCGGUAUUGACGCUGAGGCGCGAAAGCCAGGGGAGCAAACGGG